AGUGAACGCUGGCGGUAGGCCUAACACAUGCAAGUCGAACGGCAGCACAGUAAGAGCUUGCUCUUACGGGUGGCGAGUGGCGGACGGGUGAGGAAUACAUCGGAAUCUACUUUUUCGUGGGGGAUAACGUAGGGAAACUUACGCUAAUACCGCAUACGACCUACGGGUGAAAGCAGGGGAUCUUCGGACCUUGCGCGAUUGAAUGAGCCGAUGUCGGAUUAGCUAGUUGGCAGGGUAAAGGCCCACCAAGGCGACGAUCCGUAGCUGGUCUGAGAGGAUGAUCAGACACACUGGAACUGAGACACGGUCCAGACUCCUACGGGAGGCAGCAGUGGGGAAUAUUAGACAAUGGGCGCAAGCCUGAUCCAGCCAUACCGCGUGAGUGAAGAAGGCCUUCGGGUUGUAAAGCCCUUUUGUUGGGAAAGAAAAGCAGCAGGUUAAUACCCCGCUGUUCUGACGGUACCCAAAGAAUAAGCACCGGCUAACUUCGUG
rnacentral:rRNA from 1 species